rnacentral:rRNA from 1 species
AUUGAACGCUGGCGGCAUGCCUUACACAUGCAAGUCGAACGGCAGCGGGGGAGAAGCUUGCUUUUCCUGCCGGCGAGUGGCGAACGGGUGAGUAAUACAUCGGAACGUGCCCUGUAGUGGGGGAUAACUAGUCGAAAGAUUAGCUAAUACCGCAUACGACCUGAGGGUGAAAGUGGGGGACCGCAAGGCCUCAUGCUAUAGGAGCGGCCGAUGUCUGAUUAGCUAGUUGGUGGGGUAAAGGCCUACCAAGGCGACGAUCAGUAGCUGGUCUGGGAGGACGAUCAGCCACACUUGGACUGAGACACGGCCCAGAGUCCUACGGGAGGAAGCAGUGGGGAAUUUUGGACAAGGGGCGAAAGCCUGAUCCAGCAAUGCCGCGUGUGUGAAGAAGGCCUUCUUGUUGUAAAUCACUUUUGUCCGGAAAGAAAUGGCUCUGGUUAAUACCUGGGGUCGAUGACGGUACCGGAAGAUUAAGGACCGGCUAACUACGUGCCAGCCGCCGCCGUAA